UACGAAGGGUGCGAGCGUUGUUCGGAAUUACUGGGCGUAAAGGGUUCGUAGGCGGGAAGUCAAGUUAGAUGUGAAACCUCUAGGCUCAACCUGGAACGUGCAUCUAAAACUGUCUUUCUUGAGUGUUGGAGAGGGGAGUGGAAUUGCUGGUGUAGGAGUGACAUCCGUAGAGAUCAGCAGGAACACCGGAGGCGAAGGCGACUCCCUGGCCGAACACUGACGCUGAGGAACGAAAGCGUGGGGAGCAAACAGG
rnacentral:rRNA from 1 species